UCCAGCACUGUAUAUUUUGUUUCUUUCUGGUUAGUUAUUUGUUGUUUGUUAUUUAUAUUUUUUAAACAAAAUGCCUUUAAUUGCUUUUACACAUGCAGUACACAAAAUAGCAUUACCUGGAUUUACAAGCUUGGGGAAACCACACCUUAGUGACAUGGUAUGGGUGAGAAAUUCACAUAAUUUUGCAUAUUAUAGCUUAAUGUUUUAGGCACAACAUAAAUUCAGCUUAUUUGCAGACUCAUGAAGUGAGAAUUGAGUGUGCAGGAGCCACAGCGUGCUGCAGAACAUGUUUGCCUAAUCAUCAAACAGAAUUGGAAAACCAUCUUUCCACUGAGGAGCUUUAACAGCACCACCAUCUCAGCUGUAUUUGAAAUAGUGGAUUAGGGUAUUUGGAUGUUAUUUUGAUUUGUUAUUGUUUUCCUAUGAAAAUUUUAAGUUAUAUUCAGUAUGUUUCCCUCAGGAUCAGUCUAGGCUCCCAUAAUGUCACACUACACAUUCACCAUAGUCUCAAAAUGGAUGCAUGUACAUGUCCAUUCAUUUCUCCCACAUUUACACCAAAAAUAGGUUUUAAAAACAAUCAUGGCAAUAAUAGUAGUCUCUUCUUACAAACUUGUACAAUUCUUAGCUAGCAUCCCUAAAAUCAGCUUGACCCUAAUUCUCAAGCCUCCUUUUAAAAAGUUACUAUACUCUAUGCACAAUGGGAUAUUUACCAUUUUUCCAUUGGCUUUUUAUAUCUCUGUCCUUCUAUUCAGUGUUGUUAUCAUUUUAUUUAUCUUCCACAUCCACCAAUACUUCACCUAGUUUUCAAAGUCUAGCUUAAAUGUGAAGGCCUUUGUUCACUUCCUCAACACACUGUAGAAAUGGUCUCUGAAAAUAUAGUCUUACGUUCACUUCAAGUGUUCCUUAUCUACACUCAUCAUCUUGUUCAAACUAGGUACACAUUGAUAAAUUUUGAAAUAUAAAAGAAACAUAAGGUGAACUCCCUGACUUGACCCCCUAAAUCAGAAUUAAGGAUUUUAUGUUGUAUCUCCCACUGUAUGCUGCUGGUGUUUCCUUGCCAAGGAGUGGGUUCUAGGAUCAGACAUAAGCCACCAAAUGACAUGAAUGCCUUGGGCUCAUUACAAAACACCCAUGGAAACCUUAAUUUUUGAUCAGUUAUAUGGGGAUACUAAGAGUACCUACUUCAUAAGAAUUUGUGAAGAUUAAUUGAAGUAAUAUAUUCAAAAUGGGCAGAUAAUACAUAUAUUAAUUAUUUGAUAACUAUUAUUUAUUGCGAGUAUAAUUGUUAUUAUUACUGAUGUCUUCACCUAUGUUGAAGUUAGAUAUUUAUGUAUAUCUGAGCCAUUUGAGGCAGACAUUUGUAUUUUUAUUUCUCAACAUUACUAUCGGGACCCUGCCUAAAAACAUGUUUUUCUGUAUUUUUACUAGUUAAUUUUAUCUUUAUUGAAUUAUUCAUCUAAAUACAAAUUGCUUCCAAUAUCACUUGGGCAUUGAUUGUGGCAGCUGAGCAGAACUGUAGCUGUAAAUCUGAGGAACCCUAUAUACAUCAAUGCCUCCAUUAUAUUCUAGUGUUUCCUCAAAUCCAUUCAAUAAAACCUCUUUUCUGGACAUCUGGUUUUACUAUUGUAUCUUUUUUCACUUUAGUGCUAUUUUAUUAUGCCAUGCCAAUUCUCAUCACCAGCCUUUGCUGUUUCUACCUCCUCACUUCCCGUCCUGUCCAAACUGACUCCUGCUGCAAUGCUGCUCCAGUCCCUCCUCCACAAGGCUUCCAUGGACUACUGUGAUUGCUGCCUCACUGCACCCCAGGAGCUCUCUUUUUGUUCCUUAUAAUUCUUAUUGUGUUUAUAGUCAGUGCAGUGAAACACACCUUAGCAACCUACAUAAUGAUAUAUCUUCAUGGCUUGCUCUAAUUGCAUACGUUAGCUGUCACAGUGAGAUUGUUCAAGAUUUACAAGAAUAGGUCCUUCCCACAUGAAAAGUGCAAGUGCUUUCAUGAGAUCUGUAUGAAUCUGAAGCAGAGAUUCCAGAGUUUUAGAUAAACAAAGCUAUGACAUCAUAUUUAUCUUCUCAAUGCUCCAGAACAAUAGUGAGUUCUUUCCUUUUCCCUCAUAAAUAAAGACCUUCACUGUGUAUUUAUACUUCAGUGACUGGCAACAGGCAGCAUAUAGUGUUUGAAAUUUUACCAUAAAAUAUAUGAAAAGUUAUCAUAAUGUUAAAAUUGUUAUGCAAUUGUAAAACAAUGUUUUGUUCUCCUCUCCACACUCUUGAAAUUCAACUUGUACAAUGUCUAGGAAUCCUGGGGCUAUUCUCCAUUUAAUUCAAUGGGUUGAUCUCAUUAAUUUUUGUGACAAUGUUUUAAUGGGUAAAUAUAAAAGAGUUUAAGUGAUAUUAUAAGCAACAACAUUUGAUUUCAUCUAUGAAAUAGUAACUAUCUUGCACAAACACCAAUAUAGAUAAGAGAUAUCCUGCAUUUUAUCUUUGCCCUGCCUUCUACAACUGAGCUGUCCCACACUGUAGCACUAGCCACAUGAGGUUAUUGAGUGGGUGAAAUUAGCGAGAUUCAAUUGAGUUGAGCUCUAAGUAUAAAGCACACUCAAAAUUUCCGAGAUAGUACAAAAGUAAUGUAAAUGUUAACAGUUUCAUGUUGAUUAUAAACUGAAAUGGUAACAUUCUGCAUAUAAAGAGUUAAAUAUAUUACCAAAAUUAAUUUCACUGAUUUAUUUUUACUCUCUUUAGUGUGGCUACCAGGGUAAUUACAAUUAUAGUUGUGGCUUUAAUUAUAUUUCUUUAGACAGAACUGUUCUAGAAAACCCUAAUGUAGAAUCCAAGAUGCUAAUGAAGGGUAAGAAGGUCUGUGUGUAACUAUUAAAACAGGUUCUUCUAUUUAUUUGCCUUAAGAGAGCUUCUUGAUUCAUUUCUAUUUAAUGUUUCCAUCAUAAAAUAUAUGUUGUAUCCAUUUUUUUAAACCUCAGAUUAGCUGGUUUUAGUUUUGGAAGGUAAUAAUUGAUGUGUUCUAAGUGCAUGAGACAUUCUCAGGUAGAGAGAGAGCAGUAUUAAAACCAUGCAGAUCAUCUGUGUGAAGCCUGGAGCAGCUGAGAGCCCUGGGGAGCUCUAGAUCAGAGGCUGUUACACUAGGGCAAGGUGAGUGUCCCCAAAUGUGGACAUAGGGAACAUGUGACACCACCUGAUUAAAAAGCACCACAAGGUAUCUUCUUAGAGUGUUGCCAGAGUUACCUUACUUUGUAUAUUUUCUAAUAGUACCUACAUUUAUAGAAUAGUAAAUCAAGCUAUGUGUACACACUUAUUGGUUAAAAUUAAGUACCAACAAAGCUGGAAAACAUAUACAAUCGAAGUUAGCAAUCGUAAUUUAAUGUGACAAUGAUAUUGUUGCAUAUCCUGAAAAGCAAACAUCUUACAAUAUUAACAUGGUUCUACUGACUAGCAGCUACAGACUUGAGGGCUGGUUCUAGUCUUCUCUGUGCUCUGGGAUGAUUUCAUUCCCUAACCACUUCUUUCUUCACGAACCACAGCAGUGUCUUACUUCACACAGCUCACUGUGACCUUAUUUUGACCCUUACUUGGCAAGACUACAUUAUUUGCUUAUGGCGUCAACCAUUGUUUCUUUCUCAUUAGCUCAAGAAAAGUAAAGGAAUAAUCUUGGCACUCACAUGAUCAUAACCUCAAACAAGAAAAAGGCACUGAAGUCUUCAGAUUUUACAUGAUUAUGAGGUAGUUACCCAAAUAAUUUAGAAUAUACUUAUAUAAUUUUCAGAUUAUCAUCAAAGUGAACUAUCAUGGUUUUAAAUAAAUCUGCAAGGUAACUUGCUGAUGCCGAUUUGAAACCCAUAGCAAGAGGAGGCAAAUGUAUUCUGAUCUGUGGAAAUUCAGUCUAAGUUUAUCCUGUUAUUUUCUGAUGCUUCUUGUGUAUCAAACUAACACCUUUCUUCUGACUGCUAUAUCCAAGCUAUAUCUCUUCUAUCUUAAACUUUGGUUUCAAAAGAAGUAAUAUAGGCAAGAAGACAAAAAAAUAGAGGAAAGAAAACACAGAACUAGUGUUCAGGUGCACAGAAAGGGUCAUAAUGAAAGACAGAGAACAAGUAAGAUGAAAAGGGACCAACAGGUGAGCAGGCAAUGUGUUUUUGUGUCUUGUAAAAGGUAAUGUUGACAAUAAAUUAAAGUUUUUUGGGAUAGAAAUUUCCUCUUAAAGGAGAUUAUAUGGGGGAAUGAGUGUUGAGGAAUCUUAGAGGGCAUGAUAAGAGAAAGUUUGGGAGGUAAGCUCCAGUGACAGGCUAGCUCCAGUAAAAGUAAGAUUAUUGAUCUAGAUAGUUCAUGAGAAAUAGAAA